rnacentral:rRNA from 1 species
CACCGGCGGCUCGAGUGGUGGCCACUUUUAUUGGGUCUAAAGCGUCCGUAGCCGGCUUGGCAAGUCCCCUGGGAAAUCUGGCGGCUUAACCGUCAGGCGUCCAGAGGAUACUGCCAGGCUUGGGACCGGGAGAGGUGAGAGGUACCUCAGGGGUAGGGGUGAAAUCUUGUGAUCCCUGAGGAACCACCAGUGGCGAAGGCGUCUCACUAGAACGGGUCCGACGGUCAGGGACGAAAGCUGGGGGCACGAACCGG